CUUCCCUUUCCUUCCUUUCUUUUUGGUUUAGAGAAGCCCUUUCAAUAUUUCCUUUAACCUGGGUUUUGUGUUGCUGUAUUCUUUAAGUUUUUGUUUGUUGGGAAAAAUUUUUAUUUCCCCUUCUAUUUUAAAUGAUAUUCUUGCUGGAUAGAGUAUUCUAGGUUGCAUAUUUUUUCCUUUGAGCACUUUAAAUAUCUCUUGCCAUUCCCUCCUGGCCUGUAGUGUUUCUGUAGAGAAAUCAGCUGAUAUUCUUAUGGGGGUUCCCUUGUAGGUAACAUUCUGUUUUUCUCUUGCUGCCUUUAGGAUCCUCUCUUUAUCACUAACUUUUGCCAUUUUUAUUAUGAUGUGUCUUGGUGUGGGUCUGUUUGGGUUCAGUUUGUUUGGGGCCCUCUGUGCUUCUUGUAUCUUGAAUCCAGUAUCCUUUAGAUUUGGGAAGUUUCCAGCGAUAAUUUCUUCAAAUAUAUUUUCCAUUCCCUUAUCUUUUUCUACUCCUUCUGGAAUUCCUAUUAUGCGUAGAUUGGCCCGCUUUAUAUUAUCCCAUAGGUCUCUUAUAUUGCUUUCCAGUUUUUUGAUUCGGUUUUCUGUCUGUUGACCAGAUUGAGUGAUUUCCAUUAUUCUAUCUUCCAUAUCACUGAUUCGUUCUUCUGCAUUAUUCAUUCUGGUUUUUACUGCCCCUAGUUCAGUUUGCAUCUCUGCAAAUGAAUGUUCUAGUUUUUCUUGGCUCCUCCUUAUAUUUUCUAGUUCCUUUCUGAGGGUAUCUGCAUUACUGUUCAUAUCUUCUCUUAAUUCCUUCAGUAUUUUCACUAUUUCUCUUUUGAACUCCAGGUCUGUCUGACUGCAGAGAUCUGUUUCAUUGUUGACUGUUUUAGGUGAGUUCUCCUGUUGGUUUGACUGGGGGUGGUUUCUCAGCUUCUUCAUCUUGCUUGUUGUUUUCUUUCUCCUGAGGGAGUUGUACUCUCCGUUAUCGGGCAGUGUUUGCCUUGUCACUGCCGUGGAAUAUUUCCUGAGGGCUGGCGUUGUUGGUCAAUCUUUUUUGAGGCAGUGUGGCUUUUCUGGAGUGUUGAUGGGGCUAACAGUGUUUCUUUGAAGCAAAGGAGGACUUCCUGAGGGCAGACAGGACUGGGAGGUCCACACCACGAUGGUAGCAGAUUUCACUUGGUCAUGCAGAGCUUGCUCUGGUGUUUUUAGGCUGUGGGGUUCUUGCAGGGGGUUGGCGGUGUUGGGCAGCUGCUCCUCAGGAGUGCAGCACCCCCUGGGGGCUGGAGCAGCUAUCUGGGUCACUGAGAACCUAAGAGGCUCUUCCCUAGGGCAGCCCAACUCAGAAGGACAGCCUGAGAAUGUAGGCGGAUCUUUUCACAGUCUGGCCGAGCUUGUUGCAGCUUUUCUGGGCUGCAGGGGCUCUUCCAGGGGGCUGGUGGUGCUGAGCAGUUAUUUCACGGGAGUGGGGCACCCCCUGGGGGCUUGGGCGGGUAGCAGGGCCGUUGGAGACCCAAGAGGCUCCUCCCCAGGGCAGCCCAACUCAGAAAAACCAUCUGAGAUCUUUUCCCGACUCGGCCAGGCUUGUUGCAGCUUUUCUGGGCUGCAGGGGGUCCUGCCUGGAGCUGGCAGUCCUAUGCAGCUGAUCCACUAGAGCAUCCCCUGGGGGCUUGGGCGGGUAGCAGGGCCGUUGGAAACCGAAGAGGCUCCUCCCCGGGGCAACCCGACUCAGAAAAACCGUCCGAGAAUUAGGCCGAUCUAUUCACAGCCUGGCUAAGCUUGUUCUAGCUUUUCUAGGCUGCAGGCCUUUUCUCGGGGGCUGGUGGUGUUUGGUGCUGCUCUGCGGAAGUGUAGCCCCUCCAAAGGGCAAGCAGGCCUGUGCAGGGACAGCCCCUGCGGUGGUAGGCUUCAGGCAAUUGUUGAGGCCAGCCCUCCUGGAUGGCAGGCAGCCCCAGGUCCGGGAGAGCGUAGGGCGUGGCGGGGGUGGGGGGAGGGGAUGCACUGGGAAGCACAGCUUUCAGCUAGCUAGCGGGCCUGUAAGCUUGCUGUGGCGUGGGGGGUAUUCUAUGGGGACCCACCCCUUCUUCUCUCCCCUCCCCAGCACGGGCGCAGACCAGGCUCUUCUCCCAGGUUCCCUCUGAGGCGGCUUUCCACUUCCCCGCCCCUAGAGUAUUGCUCCCUUCCUCUGCGACAGCUUUGUUUUCUAGUCUCCCAGGCAGUCUCUGCCCCGUCAAAUGGUUUAGAGACCUCCCAAGCAGUUUCCGCUCUUCCCCGCCCCCCUAGCCCGGGGACUAAUCUCUGGAGCCGAGGUCUCGGUGCCCAGCCCCCACCCAGGCGUCCCCCGGCCCUUUCCCGGGGACUAACCUCUGGAGCCGAGGAUUCGGUGCCCAGCCCCCACCCAGGCGUCUCAAUUUUUGGUGACUGUGCCCGUAGUUCAGAUGGUCCGUUGGGUUCUUGAUCGUUUUUCCGUACUCCGACUUACUGCUACACUCUUCUCUGCAUCUGGAGAUUCCUCCGGUUCGUUUGAUCUUUCCCCCGGUAGGAGACUUUCCAGGGUGCGGGAUCCCUUUCUCCUCCGCAGUUCCCUUUCGGGAGCGCCCGUCCCGCUGGGAUUCACCUUCUCUCACUCUCCUCUUUUCUCCCGUUCUGCCCAAUAAUGUCACGAACUUCUUGCCGUUAUUGGAGUUUAGGUUCCUCUGCCAGCGAUUGGUUGCUGUUCUGUGCGAGUCAUUUCUUCUGUAGAUGUGCUUUUUUUGUUGUGUUUGUGGGAGAGGGUUAGCGUGUCCCCCUACUCCUCCGCCAUCUUGUC
rnacentral:lncRNA from 1 species